UACAGAGGGUGCGAGCGUUAAUCGGAAUUACUGGGCGUAAAGCGCGCGUAGGCGGUUUUGUAAGUCGGGUGUGAAAUCCCCAAGCUUAACUUGGGAACUGCAUUCGAGACUGCAUAGCUAGAGUAUGGGAGAGGGAAGUGGAAUUUCAGGUGUAGCGGUGAAAUGCGUAGAUAUCUGAAGGAACAUCAGUGGCGAAAGCGACUUCCUGGACCAAUACUGACGCUCAUGUGCGAAAGCGUGGGGAGCAAACAG
rnacentral:rRNA from 1 species